rnacentral:rRNA from 1 species
CUACGGGGCGCACCAGUGGGGAAUAUUGGACAAUGGGGGAAACCCUGAUCCAGCAAUGCCGCGUGUGUGAAGAAGGCCUGCGGGUUGUAAAGCACUUUCGGUUGGGAGGACUGCUUCUAGCACUAAUAUUGUUGGAAGUUGACGUUACCUUCAGAAGAAGCACCGGCUAACUCCGUGCCAGCAGCCGCGGUGAAUACGGAGGGUGCAAGCGUUAAUCGGAAUUACUGGGCGUAAAGCGCGCGUAGGCGGCUAGAUCAGUCGGGUGUGAAAGCCCCGGGCUUAAACUGGGAACUGCAUCCGAUACUGGCUAGGUUGAGUAGAGGAGAGGAGAGUGGAAUUCCACAUGUAGCGGUGAAAUGCGUAGAUAUGUGGAGGAACACCAAUGGCGAAGGCAGCUCUCUGGCCUGAUACUGACGCUGAGGUGCGAAAGCGUGGGGAGCAAACAGGAUUAGAUACCCGAGUAGUC